rnacentral:lncRNA from 1 species
AUUAGGAUUAUUUUUAAAAGUUUCUUUCUUUUCUAUUUUUCUUUUGUAAACCAUUUCUUUUCCUCAGUCUGUUGAACACACGAUGCUGUACUGCUAUCUGGGACUUUAUUUUACACAAUUGAUUGACUCAUUGCAUUGCUUAUGGAUCUUAAACAGUUUCAAGUUUGUCUUGAUGAUAUUGACAGUGCCACCUUUAUUUGUUCCAAAAUAUUAAUAUUUCAUAAAUGUUUUACACAUUGGGAAAAACAGUGGAUUGUAUAUUAUGCAUAAAUUCAGAUUUACUAGUAAUGUCAGUGAAAUUUGUCAACCAGCGGACACACAUGAAUGCAUGUGUAUUUGUUCCUAUGAACAUUUACACUUAUUUCUUUUUUUAAAAAAAUUUAGACAUUGAUGAAUCUUUAUUUUAUUUAUUUAUUUAUAUAUGAUGCUGAGAAUUGAAUCCACUGCCUCACACAUGUUAGGCAAGUGCUCUACCACUGAGGUACAACCCUAGCCCUACCCUUAUGUCUUUUAAUGUCAUUUUACAUUACUUUUAUUAAUAAUCUAUGACAUUGAGCAUUUUUAUUAUGUGGUUUUUAAUCUAAAAUAAUUCCAUCAUUUUAUUACAUUUAAUUACUUUGUGUAUUUAUUACUUUCUCCUGUUUUUCAUAUUUUACUGACAGUACAUUUCCCAUUUGUAUGUCUUUCAUACAGAUAAUUUAUCAGGUAGCAUAGUUUCUUUUCACUUCAUGCUACAUUUUUAUGGACUUGACUACAUUUUAAUGGAGUUGAAUUUACCAAUCUGUUCUUGGAAUUCCUUGGUUUUCUUCUAUAAAUCUCUUACAAGACAGAAGUGGGUGUUGAGCUCCCAAAGUUAAAUCCUUAGAUUUUAAGCCUCAUCUCCAGAGACUGAUUAGUUUUGCAGUUACAGAUCAUCCAUCAAUCUGGCCCCAGAGCUGGUGGACAUGUUUAUUUCACUGCAAACAAGUUUUCUGUUUGAAAUGUGGGUCAAGCAGUCCUCACCUGAGUUAGCUAAAAUGUUUGUUUUCUUGCUUUUAACUCUUUAUUUUUAAAAAGUUACUGUUGUAUAACCUCCAUUUUUAUAUGUGUUUAAUAAUUAUAUUCCUUUGUGUGAAUAAUUUUUUGCUUUUAUGAAAUAGACCAAAAGAGAAAGUGUCCAAAGCCUUGGUCAUCCAGACACCAGCCAGGCCUGGCUUGUGUAGUCCUCCCAUACUGAGGCCAGAUUGGCUGGCUUGAACAACUGAGGUGUGAUCAGACACACAUGCACACAUGGUUCCUUGUCUAGAAGGAAGACACAGGAGUAGCUUCCUAAAGGAGGGUGAAGACAAUUCUCCCAGCUCCUGAAGGCAGAUGAAGAUGUGCAAAAAUUCAAAUGUCCCUUCUGAGCAACAAACUGGCUGAGAAAAGCUGCAGCCAAGAGUGUGUCACUCUGACAUCAUUCACCCAGGGUUUGAUGUGCCUCCUGGCACUCUGAGUCUGUAUGGAGGCUGAUGCGCUCCCCAGUCAUGGACUCUGGGAGGGAUCUGCCCAAUCAGGCCUGCACUCAGAAAGGAGAGGAUGUCCUUCCAUAGUUGCAUAGAAUUUUGUCUGUCAUGCCCCUAGAGCUCUGAAGUCUCCUCUCUUGUGAGGCCCAGGUGGCUCUGCUGGGGCCUAUGUCACCCUCUGAGCUGCAGGUCAUGUAAGAAUUCUAGGAAUGGUGUUAAGAUACAUAGAAUGCCAGAAAAUGUAGAAUCUGCAGAUUUUUUAAAAGGGAGAAUCAGCUAUGGAGGGACUGUCUCCUGCCUAAAAUUCACUACAGGUUCAGCUGAUCUAGGUUCACUGCUGUGGCAUUAUGGCCUUUUGAGCUUUCUGGACUGUGGAGUAGAAGAUCAGCCAGCAGCUGGAAGCUCUGGGCAUUCUGUCUUUACAAAGAGCCAUCACUUGGCAUCUGUAGAUCUCCUCUGUUUGUGCAGAGUACACAAAACAUCAUUCUGGGAGAAGCCACGUUGGUGGAUGUGGUUCCUGUGAAGGAGGCACUUUUUUGACAGCAGACAUCAGCUCUUCCUUUCUCCCCAGGGUUGUUCAUUUUCUGUGAUUCUCCCACAAUGUGAGAGGCAGGGUCUCAGAACUUAGACCUUGCCCUCUCUAUGGCUGCUCACAGGGCUGACAACAAAUCCUUUAUUUUAGAGUUUCCUUCACAGACAUCAAAAUAUCAAUUUUCCCUUUAUAGUUCACAGGAUUAUUAACAAUUUUACCCCUGCAACAUUUAAAGCUGACACAGUAUUUUAAUUGCCAUUGUCCCUAUGUAAUGUAUAAUCCUUUUGAAAAUGUUUGUUUUCAGGAGGUGAAUGUUUCAUAUGGAUGGAAAGUAGAGAAUAAUCACCAGACUAUGCUUUACAGAAUCUUUGUGCCUCCUUUUUUCUUUCUUAGGCACAGUCACCUUAUCACCAUAUCUUUGACAACUAUAUUAAUUUAUAUCUGGGAUGUCUCCAAAAUCUCAAUGUUGAAACAUGAUCCCCAAUUGCAGCAAGGUGGAGAGAUAGAUUUUUAGACCAUAAUUGGAUAAUGCGGGCACGGGUUUCUGUAUACUUGUUCAUUAAUGACUGAAUACGCUAGUGGGAAGGGGGCAAUAGUUGGAGGAAGUAGGUCACUGGGGUAGUCCUCCCCUGAACAGGAUCAUCUUCUCCCAGCACCUUCCUCCUCUGCUGCCUUGCUGCCAUGAGCUGAACAGCUUUU